UCCGUUUACCUUUCCGAAGUGCAAUCGGUGGACUAGGAAGAGACGAGUCCGCAGUAGGAGCAGGGUCAGGUGCAGGACAUAAAUCAGCUGGGCCUGAUACUGGGUGCGAACGACGUUGAUAUGUCAAAAGCGGUGUUCUUGUGACAGGGAGUCUAGGAGAGCCAUACUAGAUUCCUCAACCGAGGGAAUGGUUAAGACUUCAGUAGUGGAAGGUAAAGGAGAAUCUAUAGUAGGCU
rnacentral:lncRNA from 1 species